UGCGUAGGCGGGUCUUUAAGUCAGGGGUGAAAUCCUGGAGCUCAACUCCAGAACUGCCCUUGAUACUGAGGAUCUUGAGUUCGGGAGAGGUGAGUGGAACUGCGAGUGUAGAGGUGAAAUUCGUAGAUAUUCGCAAGAACACCAGUGGCGAAGGCGGCUCACUGGCCCGAUACUGACGCUGAGGCACGAAAGCUGGGGAGCAAACA
rnacentral:rRNA from 1 species